UGUUCCUGUUGCAUAGAUCCAGUUUCCUACCUAGCCAUUAGUCCCUUGAGUCCAAGAGAUAUUUCUUCUUAUUCUUUGUACCUUCCCAUAGCGAUUAGAAAAGCAUGCCAGUCAAUAGUAGGUGUAGAGGAAGUUUGUUUAACUUGACUGGUUGAUUAGUGGGUUGAUUUACUGCCAGCUCAGUGGCUGUUUCUCUCCCAUUACUUCCACCUCCCAUGAGGACUGCACCUGCGGCAGCGAUUUUAUGUGAACUUGGAUUACUGUAUGGAAAUGGAGGAGUGAGAAAGUGUGGGAAUCGUAAAGGAAGGCAGAACCAAAAGACAGAGGGAUCUUGGGCCAUGAGUCACAGCAAGGAAAGCCUCCCACCAAACAUCUGCACUGGACUCCUACAGGAACAAGAAAUGAACUAUCGUGUUCAGCCCCUGAGACUUGGGCUUAACAUGAUUUUCACAUUGUCUACCCUACCUAAUAGAGCAGAGAUGUAAAUAUUAUUCUUAUUUUAGAGGUGUGAUGCCUCAGCUGCAAUGGCUGAGAACUACUCCUCAUUUAUUCUCUUCCAAGGUAAUAAAAGAGAAUGGACCAAAGACAGUCUGUCAUCACAUCUAGUCAAAAGAGCUAAUGUCGCAGUACAACUCUUCAAAAGAAAAAGAAAAAACAAGAAAAAAGUAAUAAACAGAUGUGUUCUGCUUGAUUGUUUGACUCCUUUUUCUUGUGUUUUCCUCUGGAAUUUCUCUGUAGCUAAAGGCCUUUGAUAUUCUAUGUCUACAAGAUGAUGGCAUCGGUGGUAGUGAUGGUUUCUUCUUUUCUCUUUUUCCUUCUCCUUCUCCUCCUUUUUUCUUUCCUCUUCUUUCCUCCUCCCCUCCCUAUUCUCCUUCGUCUUCUUUUCUUUUCUCCGUCUCCCCUUCCUCUUUCAUCUCCUCUUAUUAUUAUUAUACUUUGUUCUUGAUCUAAAACAGCACUGUAUUAGAUGCCAAAUCUUUAGAAAUUAGAAGUUCUGACCAGGCACAGUGGCUCACGCCUGUAAUCCCAACACAUUGGGAGGCCGAGAUGGGCAGAUUACCUGAAGUCAGGAGUUCGAGACCAGACUAACCAACAUGGCAAAACCUCGCCUCUACUAAAAAUACAAAAAUUAGCCAGGCGUGGUGGCAUGCACCUGUAAUUCCAGCUACUGGGGAGGGUGAGACAGGAGAACUGUUUGAACCCAGGAGAUGGAGAUUGCAGUGAGCCAAGAUCAUGCCACUGCACUCCAGCCUGGGCAACAGAGUGAGAUCUGUCUCAAAAAAAAAAAAAAGAAGUUCUGUGUUCUAAAAGAAGUAUUGCUACCACCUGCAUUACUGAGAAAGUCCCUUAAAUUACCUGAACCUCAGUUUCCUCAGUUGUAAUUAAAUAACUGUUAAUUAAUUCAAUCUAGUUCACUCUAUCAAGAG
rnacentral:lncRNA from 1 species